rnacentral:rRNA from 1 species
AACCAUGCCCUUCGGGGCUCCUUGGUGAUUCAUAAUAACUUAACGAAUCGCAUGGCCUUGUGCCGGCGAUGGUUCAUUCAAAUUUCUGCCCUAUCAACUUUCGAUUGUAGAGUAGUGGUCUACAAUGGUUUCAACGGGUAACGGGGAAUUAGGGUUCUAUUCCGGAGAGGGAGCCUGAGAAACGGCUACCACAUCCAAGGAAGGCAGCAGGCGCGCAAAUUACCCAAUCCCGACACGGGGAGGUAGUGACAAUAAAUACUGAUACAGGGCUCUUUUGGGUCUUGUAAUUGGAAUGAGUACAAUUUAAAUCCCUUAACGAGGAACAAUUGGAGGGCAAGUCUGGUGCCAGCAGCCGCGGUAAUUCCAGCUCCAAUAGCGUAUAUUAAAGUUGUUGCAGUUAAAAAGCUCGUAGUUGAACCUUGGGCCUGGCUGGCCGGUCCGCCUCACCGCGUGCACUGGUCCGGCUGGGCCUUUCCUUCUGGGGAGCCGCAUGCCCUUCACUGGGUGUGUCGGGGAACCAGGACUUUUAC